rnacentral:rRNA from 1 species
GACGAACGCUGGCGGCGUGCUUAACACAUGCAAGUCGAACGGAAAGGCCCUGCGUUUGUGGGGUGCUCGAGUGGCGAACGGGUGAGUAACACGUGAGUAACCUGCCCUUGACUUUGGGAUAACUUCAGGAAACUGGGGCUAAUACCGGAUAGGAGCUCCUGCUGCAUGGUGGGGGUUGGAAAGUUUCGGCGGUUGGGGAUGGACUCGCGGCUUAUCAGCUUGUUGGUGGGGUAGUGGCUUACCAAGGCUUUGACGGGUGGCCGGCCUGAGAGGGUGACCGGCCACAUUGGGACUGAGAUACGGACCAGACUCCUACGGGAGGCAGCAGUGGGGAAUAUUGCACAAUGGGCGGAAGCCUGAUGCAGCAACGCCGCGUGCGGGAUGACGGCCUUCGGGUUGUAAACCGCUUUCGCCUGUGACGAAGCGUGAGUGACGGUAAUGGGUAAAGAAGCACCGGCUAACUACGUG